UACGUAGGGUGCAAGCGUUAAUCGGAAUUACUGGGCGUAAAGCGUGCGCAGGCGGUGAUGUAAGGCAGAUGUGAAAUCCCCGGGCUUAACCUGGGAACUGCAUUUGUGACUGCAUCGCUGGAGUGCGGCAGAGGGGGAUGGAAUUCCGCGUGUAGCAGUGAAAUGCGUAGAUAUGCGGAGGAACACCGAUGGCGAAGGCAAUCCCCUGGGCCUGCACUGACGCUCAUGCACGAAAGCGUGGGGAGCAAACAGG
rnacentral:rRNA from 1 species